rnacentral:rRNA from 1 species
AACGAACGCUGGCGGCAGGCUUAACACAUGCAAGUCGAGCGCCCCGCAAGGGGAGCGGCAGACGGGUGAGUAACGCGUGGGAAUCUACCCAUCUCUACGGAAUAACGCAUGGAAACGUGUGCUAAUACCGUAUACGUCCUUCGGGAGAAAGAUUUAUCGGAGAUGGAUGAGCCCGCGUUGGAUUAGCUAGGUGGUGGGGUAAAGGCCUACCAAGGCGACGACCCAUAGCUGGUCUGAGAGGAUGAUCAGCCACACUGGGACUGAGACACGGCCCUGACGCCUACGGGAGGCCGCAGUGGGGAAUAUUGGACACUGGGCGCAAGCCUGAUCCAGCCAUGUCGCGUGAGUGAUGAAGGCCCUAGGGUUGUAAAGCUCUUUAACCGGUGAAGAUAAUGACGGUAACCGGAGAAGAAGCCCCGGCUAACUUCGUGCCAGCAGCCGCCGUAAUAC